CGUCAGCAGGGCCAGCAAGACGGCGACUUCCACUGGCUGUAAGCCAUCAAAGCUUUGCAUGCGUGAGGCCGGGUUGAUGUUGACUUAAUCAAUCUCCCUGCUGGCGAGGACUUCCUACAGUUAAACACACAUGUCUGGUUAUCAAAGACUCAUGUAGGAUGGUCCCGAGCUCCAAACCAUGGAGGCAGUGGCCUCUUCUCUGUCUCUGUUGUUGAAACCUGAAACAUUGUGUAUGAAGUCUAAUCUUAUGCAUGCUCAUUUAUCCUUCUUGUUAAUGGAAUUGGGGCUGGCAGAAAAUGUUAAGCACGAAGGAAA